rnacentral:rRNA from 1 species
AUACGGAGGGGGCAAGCGUUAUUCGGAAUCACUGGGCGUAAAGGACGCGUAGGCGGGUUGGCAAGUCAGAUGUGAAAUCCUACAGCUUAACUGUAGAACUGCAUUUGAAACUGCUAACCUAGAGUAUGGGAGGGGGAGAUGGAAUUAGUGGUGUAGGGGUAAAAUCCGUAGAUAUCACUAGGAAUACCGAAAGCGAAGGCGAUCUCCUGGAACAUAACUGACGCUAAGGCGUGAAAGCGUGCGGAGCAAACAGGAUUAGAUACCCUAGUAGUCC